GACGAACGCUGGCGGCGUGCUUAACACAUGCAAGUCGAACGGAAAGGCCCUGCUUUUGUGGGGUGCUCGAGUGGCGAACGGGUGAGUAUCACGUGAGUAACCUGCCCUUGACUUUGGGAUAACUUCACGAAACUGGGGCUAAUACCGGAUAGGAGCUUCUGCUGCAUGGUGGGGGUUGGAAAGUUACGGCGGUUGGGGAUGGACUCGCGGCUUAUCCGCUUGUUGGUGGGGUAGGGGCUUACCAAGGCUUUGACGGAUAGCCGGCCUGAGAGGGUAACCGGCCACAUUGGGACUGAGAUACGGCCCAGACUCCUACGGGAGGCAGCAGUGGGGAAUAUUGCACAAUGGGGGGAAGCCUGAUGCAGCGACGCCGCGUGCGGGAUGACGGCCUUCGGGUUGUAAACCGCUUUCGCCUGUGACGAAGCGUGAGUGACGGUAAUGGGUAAAGAAGCACCGGCUAACUACGUG
rnacentral:rRNA from 1 species